UACGAAGGGUGCAAGCGUUAAUCGGAAUUACUGGGCGUAAAGCGUGCGUAGGCGGUUGCUUAAGCCAGAUGUGAAAGCCCUGGGCUCAACCUGGGAAUGGCAUUUGAAACUGGGCAGCUAGAGUGUGAUAGAGGAUGGCGGAAUUCCCGGUGUAGCGGUGAAAUGCGUAGAGAUCGGGAGGAACAUCCGUGGCGAAGGCGGCCAUCUGGAUCAACACUGACGCUGAGGCACGAAAGCGUGGGGGAGCAAACAGG
rnacentral:rRNA from 1 species